rnacentral:rRNA from 1 species
GACGAACGCUGGCGGCGUGCUUAAUACAUGCAAGUCAACUUGACUUUAGAUAGCAAUAUCGAAAAGUAGGGUGGCGCACGGGUGCGUAACGCGUAGGUAAUCUGCCCUGAGGUCUGACAUAACCCGUCGAAAGGCGGGCUAACAUCAGAUGAUAUAUAAUCACGACAUCGUGGAAAUAUCAAAUCUUCGGAGCCUUGGGAUGAGCCUGCGUCUGAUUAGGUAGUUGGCGGAGUAAUAGCCCACCAAGCCUACGAUCAGUAGCUGGUCUGAGAGGAUGAUCAGCCACACUGGAACUGAGACACGGUCCAGACUCCUACGGGAGGCAGCAGUAAGGAAUAUUGCUCAAUGGGGGAAACCCUGAAGCAGCAACGCCGCGUGAAGGAUGAAAUACUUUUGUAUGUAAACUUCUGUAAGAUGGGAAAAUAUUCUCCUCGGA